ACAGCAGCCGCCGCGGUAAUACGGAGGGUGCAAGCGUUAAUCGGAAUUACUGGGCGUAAAGCGCACGCAGGCGGUCUGACAAGUCAGAUGUGAAAUCCCCGGGCUUAACCUGGGAACUGCAUUUGAAACUGUCAGGCUGGAGUCUUGUAGAGGGGGGUGGAAUUCCAGGUGUAGCGGUGAAAUGCGUAGAGAUCUGGAGGAAUACCGGUGGCUAAGGCGGCCCCCUGGACAAAGACUGACGCUCAGGUGCGAAAGCGUGGGGAGCAAACAGGAUUAGAUACCCGGGUAGUCCCUGUCUCUUAUAA
rnacentral:rRNA from 1 species